rnacentral:lncRNA from 1 species
GGUGUUGUAUAAUAUUAUAAAGAUGCCAUUGGACCAAAAACUGAAGGGAACAUUUGCAGUCAAUCUCAUUGACUUUUAUUGAAUCUGUUAGGGGUCUGUUAAACUGGACCAAAAGUGCUCCCUGUUUUAUGUUGACUUGAAGGAUUGUUAGUUAAACAUUAUACAAGUGGAUGGAAAUAGAGUAACUCUCUAACUUAAGGGAUCAUUUG